rnacentral:rRNA from 1 species
GAGUUGUAAUUUGAAGAAGCGUUUUCUGCGUAGUUUGGUCAGCCUAAGUCCUAUUGAAUGAGGCAUCAUGGAGGGUGAUAAUCCCGUUCGGUUGAUCAUUGCGCUUUACGAUACGCUUUCAAAGAGUCAAGUUGUUUGGAAUUGCAGCUUAAAAUGGGAGGUAAAUUUCUCCUAAGGCUAAAUAACGGCGAGAGACCGAUAGCGAACAAGUACCGUGAGGGAAAGAUGAAAAGAACUUUGAAAAGAGAGUUAUAUAGUACGUGAAAUUGUUGAAAGGGAAACGAUUGAAGCCAGUCGUACCGGCGGGUAAUCAGCCUUUUGGGUGUGAUUAUGUGGAGCGUGAGGAGCUAAUCGCCUUCAUCUUUGCAUAUUCGUGCACUUUGGGUGUACUUGCUCGUGUGGUAGGUUAACAUCAAUUUUGAUCAUCAUAAAAUGAUUGAAGGAAUGUAGCUUCGAUCUCGUAUUGAAGUGUUAUAGCCUUUGGUAGAUGUGAUGAUCGGGAUUGAGGAUUGCAACGGAUACCCUUCGGGGCUACCUGUCUGAUCUCUGAAAGUUGCUCUGGUGCUGAAAGCUUGCUU